AGCAGGAGAAAAAGAACCUAGUGCAUACAUGUAAGAAGUGUUUUUUAUGCAAAGCUCCCACAUCUUGGCUGGCAGCAGGUUAUUUUGAAAUAACCGUUGGUUAUUUAAAUAACCCAAGAUCGAACAAGCCUUUGCAGAUCCACGCUAUGGUGAUUUUCAAGUUUAUUAUGCGUUCCAUAUUAUAACAGAAUUACAAUAAAAUUGAAAAACUAUGUUGAGCUGCGUUUUCAGUUUGUUUUCUUAUCUGAAUCGAUAAGCCAACCAACGAGCAGUGAAUCAAUGGUGGAGAAAAGCUUCAAAUACGUCAUCCUAGGUGGAAACACUGGUUCUUGAAGGAGGAACGAGAGAUUGAACUUGGGUUUCCAAUUGAUGUCAAGCAUAUUGCACAUUUUGGCUUCAUAUGACUGAAAACUUCUUUCCUUCAACCCUAUUUUUUUUUCUAACCCCACCAAAAUGAAUUGAUGCAAUAUUGUAUUAUUAUUGUAGGGUUAUGCUGCUAGAGAGUUCUACAAGCAUGGUAUUAAGCCAGGUGAACUUGCAAUUAUUUUUAAAGGAGCGGUAUGUAUGAUUUUCUCUGCAUCUGUUGUCUUUUUCAUGUAUCUUGUUAAUUUGUUAUUGGAGUGAUGAUGAUUUGAUUUUGGUUUCGUUCAUUUUGGUCAUCACUAUUGGUACUUGUGAUGAUGGGCAUUUUCUGGCUUUCAGUUUGCUCCUUAUGAGCUAAGAUCUGCAGUGGGAUAAUCAAUGAUUGAAAAUAUUGUUGUUCAUAUAGGCAAUAGACCAAAUAAUUAAUUAAGCUGCUGCAGUGCAAAAUCUAAUUUCAUGCUGGUGAUCAAAUAUCAGUUAUCAGUUCCAAUUGUGUUGGUGCCCAAAAAGUGGGAUUUACAAAAUUUCUUUGUUGUAUGUAGUAAUUGUUGUUUCUAUAUUUUUAUAUAAUUAUUUUAGUAUACGAAAUUUGUCUUUUAGUUUAAUGGAUUUUUAAACUAUUAGAACAAUACUAAAAACUUGUAAUAUGUUAGUUAAUAUUUUUU